CGCCUGUUUAUCAAAAACAUGUCGUCUUGAUUUUAUAUGAUGUUUAACCUGCUCAAUGAUUAUUUAAAUAGCCGCGGUAAUUUAACUGUGCAAAGGUAGCAUAAUAAUUAGUCUUUUAAUUGAGGUCUGGAAUGAAUGGUUGGACGAGAAAAAUACUUUAUUUUUUAAAAUUUAUUUAAUUUAAUUUUAUUGUUAAAACGCAAUAAUUAUUUGAAGUGACGAUAAGACCCUAUAGAUCUUUAUUUUAUUUUUUUUUUUUUUCUUUUUGAUGGUUUUUAUUUAAAUUUAAUUAUAAAAUUUUGUUGGGGUGACAUUUAAAAUUUUAAUCUUUAUUUAUUUUUUACAUUUUUUUUUGUGUUUUUGAACCAUAAUUUUUGUUUAUUAGAAAAAGAUACCUUAGGGAUAACAGCGUAAUAUAUUUGGAUAGUUCUUAUUGAUAAAUAUUUUUGCGACCUCGAUGUUGGAUUAAAAUUUUUUUGUGGGGUAGGUUUCACAAUAUUAGGUCUGUUCGACUUUAAAAUUUUACAUGAUCUGAGUUCAGACCGG
rnacentral:rRNA from 1 species